rnacentral:rRNA from 1 species
CCUACGGGUGGCAGCAGUGAGGAAUAUUGGUCAAUGGCCGGAAGGCUGAACCAGCCAUGCCGCGUGAAGGUCAGUGCCCUAUGGGCGUUAAACUUCUUUUGUGCGGGAGCAAUAAUGGUCACGUGUGGCCAGACGAGAGUACCGUACGAAUAUGCAUCGCCUAACUCAGUGCCAGCGGCGGCGGUAAUACGGGGGAUGCAAGCGUUAUACGGAUUUAUUGGGUUUAAAGGGUGCGUAUGCUGUGAGGUAAGUCAGCGGGGAAAUGCCCCCGCUCAACGGGGUGAAGUGCCAUUGAUACUGCCUUGCUGGAAUGCGGAUGCCGUGGGAGGAAUGUGUGGUGUAGCGGUGAAAUGCAUAGAUAUCACACAGAACACCGAUUGCGAAGGCAUCUCACGAAUCCGCGAUUGACGCUGAUGCACGAAAGCGUGGGUAUCAAACAGGAUUAGAUACCCGAGUAGUC